rnacentral:rRNA from 1 species
CAGCCGCCGCGGUAAUACGUAGGUCCCGAGCGUUGUCCGGAUUUAUUGGGCGUAAAGCGAGCGCAGGCGGUUAGAUAAGUCUGAAGUUAAAGGCUGUGGCUUAACCAUAGUACGCUUUGGAAACUGUUUAACUUGAGUGCAAGAGGGGAGAGUGGAAUUCCAUGUGUAGCGGUGAAAUGCGUAGAUAUAUGGAGGAACACCGGUGGCGAAAGCGGCUCUCUGGCUUGUAACUGACGCUGAGGCUCGAAAGCGUGGGGAGCAAACAGGAUUAGAUACCCCUGUAGUCCCUGUCUCUUAUACA